rnacentral:precursor_RNA from 8 species
AGUCUGUGGCCCCUCAUGUGCGUUGCGGUGUGAGGUAGUUGGUUGUAUGGUUUUGCAUAAUAAACAGCCCGGAGUUAACUGUACAACCUUCUAGCUUUCCCUGCGGCUGCACGAUUACAGCUCUCAGAAG